CUAGACGUUGAUAGGAUAGGGCACCCUAAAAAACUGGGGAGAGGAGUUUGGGGUCGGGGCCUCGGAAAGGCGGGAGGUGCCCCCACCGCUUUAGAAGCCCGGCGCAGUGCACGACGGGACGCCCCCGGGAAGGGGCGGAGUCGUGUCCGGGUUGCGGUUGGGAAAGCGCCGUUACUCCGAGGGGCGUGUUGAAGAGGGUUUCGCGGGCUCGAGCGGGGGAGGGGGGACCGUUAAAACCCUGCCCCGCGCCCACAGGAAGCUGCUUUAAUGGCUAGGCCUACUUGGUACCAGGCUUUCGGCUGGGAAGGACCUUGAAGACCAUGCGGUUCAACUUCCAAUUUGCAGAUGUGGAAACUGAAGCCGAGAGAGGGAAUCAAUGAAGAUUAAGUGAGAUGACGUCCAUCAAAAUCUCUGUAUUGUCUUUAUGAGGAUGACCCACACUACAAGUGAUCCGCAGUUCUGUUUCACUCCAAGCCAAGUUUCUCCUGUCCUCUUAUCAGUUUGCUGAGGCACCUCCUCUGCUCAACAUCAGUCAUGAUACUACCAGUGAGAGGCAAUGGAUUUUUAAAGUAGCUGGAAUAAAAUGCUGGGAAGCGGUACGCGGGCCUCUCACCGUUGUGGCCUCUCCCGUUGCAGAGCACAGGCUCCGGACGUGCCGGCUCAGCGGCCAUGGCUCACCCCAGCCGCUCCGUGGCACGUGGGAUCCUCCCGGACCGGGGCACGAACCUGCGUCCCCUGCAUCGGCAGGCGGACUCUCAACCACUGCGCCACCAGGGAAGCCCUGAAC